rnacentral:rRNA from 1 species
UACGGAGGGUGCAAGCGUUAAUCGGAAUUACUGGGCGUAAAGCGCACGCAGGUGGCUGAGUCAGUCGAUUGUGAAAGCCCUGGGCUUAACCUGGGAAUUGCAGUCGAUACUACUCAGCUAGAGUAUGGGAGAGGGUAGUGGAAUUCCCGGUGUAGCGGUGAAAUGCGUAGAUAUUGGGAGGAACACCGGUGGCGAAGGCGGCCCUCUGGACCGGUACUGACGCUGAGGAGCGAAAGCGUGGGGAGCGAACAGG